UCAGGGCAUCUGCUGAAGAGGCUUUGAAGGCAUCUGUUGAAGAGGCAGAACAGGUUGCUGCAGGCCAAACAAGACCUGAGAUUGGGUCAGUUGUUGAAGAGGCUACAACCCAAACAAGACCAGAUGUUGAAGCACCGACACCAAGUGUUGAAGUUUUUGACACCAAUGAACCAAUUGUUGGGCCUAGAGAAAAAGGGAAGAAAGCAAGCAAUGUGAGCAAGGGAGCAGAGGGUAAAGACAAGGGGAAGAGGUUGUAGCAAGUAGAUAAAGGGAAGAAGGCUGCUAGUGAAACAACAGCCAAGAAGAGUAGAUCUUAGCCCAAGUCUAAUGGGAGACAAAAGAAGCAGCCAAGGUACAAUACCAGAAAGAAGGGCAGUAAGGGAUAUGAGGAGGUAGAUAGUGAUGAUUCAAGCUCGGAUGGUUUAGAUUUUUAUGUGGACAGCGAAUAUGACCAAGGAGAUUAUGAGGAUGACCAACAGUUUCAAGAAAAUGUGUCAAAUCCCCAAAAUGUGGAAAAAUUUGAAGAGAUGGGAUUCAGAGGAGACUGUGGUGAUGAUGGGGUUGAAACAGAUGAAAGUUGGGGAGUUUGAAGGGAUCUGAGAUAGAGGAGGAUGAAGAUGAGAAUUUUUUCCCUAUAGCAGCUUGGAGAGGCAUAAAGCUCAAGUCUUGGAACGGAAGGGUAGAUCUUAAAAACUCUAGGUUUGUUGUUGGUUUGUGUUUCCCAAAUUCAGAGUAGUUGAAGGAGCCAAUUAGGGGGUAUGAUCUCAUGAGCAGAAGAGGAAUUUGAUUUAAGAAGAACACAGCCAAGAAGAUUGAAGUUAAAAAUCAGUGGGGAUGUGAUUUUUGGUUGUAUGCUAGUGGGAUAGCUGGCCUUUGGCCCAACACACUUGUGAUCAAGACUCUCAUAUCUAAGCACAAGUGUUCAUACAUUCAGUCCAGUCACCACAUAAACUACAAUAGGGUUGCUAAGGAGGUACAACAAGACCUCUUGGUUGAUUAAGAUUGGAGCAGAAAAGGGAUUUAGAACCACAUCCAGAAGAAGUUCAAUUUGGAUGUGAAUGUGUAGACCAUCUCGAGGGGAAAGAACAAAGCCAAAAGGAUGAAUGAGGGACACUAUGUUGAGCAGUACAACAAGCUGGCCAGCUAUAAGAAUGAAUUAUUGAGAAGCAACCCAGGUUCAACAGUGGAGAUCAAGACUGAAAUGGUUGGGGAAGUAAGGAGGUUUCACAGAAUGUAUGUGUGCUUGGUAUCUUGCAAGAAGGGCUGGAUGGAUGGCUGCAGGCCUUUAAUUGGGUUGGAUGGGUGUCACAUUAAGGGUCACCACCCGGGCCAAUUGUUAUAUGUUGUUGGGAUAGAUGCAAACAAUGGGAUGUUCCCCAUUGCUUAUGUAGCUGAGGUUAAGAACACUAAUUCAUAGAGGUGGUUUUUAAGGUAGCUCAUGUGAGAUUUGAGGAUUAAGAGGGAUUCAGCCUACACCUUCAUCACAGACAAGCAGAAAGGAUUGGGGAUUACAAUAGCAGAGUUGUUUCCCAAUGCUGAACACAGGCACUGUGUUAGGCAUAUGUACAACAACUUCAAAGCAAAGCAUCCAAAAGAAGGCCUAAAACAGCUAGUUUGGGAUGUAGCAAGAUCAAGUACAAAAGUGUGGUUCAAAAGGCAUAUGGACAAGAUGCAGCGGCUGGAUCCACAAGCAUGGCAGUAGUUUUAAGAUAAGAAUCCAGCUCAAUGGAGUAGAGCAUACUUCAGAGAAGAUGGGAGGUGUGAUAUACUGCUGAAUAUCCUCUGUGAGUCAUUUAAUGCAGCUAUUAUUCCUACUAGGGAUAAGCCAAUCUUGACUAUGCAUGAGAAGAUAAGGAUGGACUUGCUGGUUAGGAUAGCUAACAGAAGAGUUGCAGUUCAGGGCUGGAAAGAUAUGGUUGGCCCUAGGAUUAAGAAGAUUAUGGAUAAGGUGGCAGAGAGAACUUCAUGUUAUAGAGCAUGGAGUAGUGGUGAAUUUGAGUUUCAAAUUACUGGAGGGGGAGAUAAUGGAAGCAAACAUGUUGUGGACUUGAGGCUUCACACAUGUACAUGUAGGAGGUGGCAAUUGAGUGUCAUACCUUGUGUUUAUGCCAUAUGUGCCAUUAGAAGCAACGAAGCAGAAGCUGCCCUGUUUUGUAAUGACUACUUGAUGCCUUCUAGUUAUAUGGAGGCAUACAGUCCCAUUAUCCAUCCUAUUGCUGGGGAGGAUGAUUGGGAAGUUGUGGAUUACCCUAUUGCACCUCUCCCAUAUAAGAAGCAAGCUGGAAGGCCUAGAAUGACCAGAUUCAAGGAACCGGGUGAGAACAAGUAGGCUCCACCAACACCAGACCCAACAAACACAACAAGGAUGCCUAGAACAUACACAAAGAUGACUUGUCAGGUUUGCUUCAAAAAAGGGCACAACCGGUUGGGCUGCUCAAUCACUAAGGCAAAAAAUGCAGAGCAGCAAAGCAAUCAGGGGAAGGUAGUUCUAAUGGUGCCUAGUAAACUAGGAAAAGGCAAAGAAGGCAGCAGGCACCAAAAGUUUUAGCUACAAACGGUAACACCAGUUUGAAAGAUCAACUCAUUAAGUCUAGGAAGGCUUGGAAGAAGCGAAAGACCAUGGAGGGCAACCAAAGUGCCAAUGUAGGGCUUCUAGUUCACAAACAAGGCAUGGACCUCCAACACAAAGUAGCCAAAACCCAGCAGCAAAAAAGGCAGAUCAGAAAGGCAAAACUGAAUUUGAGUGGGCAGCACUAUGAGGCAUGUUGUCAUGAACCAAUCCAUUUGUGGUUCUCAUGUAUGAUCUGUUCAAUGAUGUGAAGAACAGUUGGUGUAAUUGCUCUCUUUUGAUGACAUUUUCUUGAACAAU